GUCCUGUUGGUGGAGUGGUUAACGCGGUGGCAUUUCCCUUUGGGAGUGCAGGUUCGAAUCCUGUGCAGGACG